GGCUGGUCCAAAGGUAGCAAGCUAUCUCAAUUGGUUGUUCCCACUCAGUUAGAGUUACGGAUGCAACUCCUUGUUCUACUUUCUCUUCCCUUCUCACUACUGUACUUGACUAGUCUUAA
rnacentral:Y_RNA from 1 species